rnacentral:rRNA from 1 species
AGCAGCAGCCGCGGUAAUACGUAGGUGGCAAGCGUUAUCCGGAAUUAUUGGGCGUAAAGCGCGCGUAGGCGGGUUUUUAAGUCUGAUGUGAAAGCCCACGGCUCAACCGUGGAGGGUCAUUGGAAACUGGAGAACUUGAGUGCAGAAGAGGAAAGUGGAAUUCCAUGUGUAGCGGUGAAAUGCGCAGAGAUAUGGAGGAACACCAGUGGCGAAGGCGACUUUCUGGUCUGUAACUGACGCUGAUGUGCGAAAGCGUGGGGAUCAAACAGGAUUAGAUACCCCCGUAGUCCCUGUCUCUUAUAU